CGUACACUCCUACGGGAGGCAGCAGUGGGGAAUAUUGGACAAUGGGCGCAAGCCUGAUCCAGCCAUGCCGCGUGAGUGAUGAAGGCCCUAGGGUUGUAAAGCUCUUUCACCGGUGAAGAUAAUGACGGUAACCGGAGAAGAAGCCCCGGCUAACUUCGUGCCAGCAGCCGCGGUAAUACGAAGGGGGCUAGCGUUGUUCGGAUUUACUGGGCGUAAAGCGCACGUAGGCGGACUAUUAAGUCAGGGGUGAAAUCCCGGGGCUCAACCCCGGAACUGCCUUUGAUACUGGUAGUCUUGAGUUCGAGAGAGGUGAGUGGAAUUCCGAGUGCAGAGGUGAAAUUCGUAGAUAUUCGGAGGAACACCAGUGGCGAAGGCGGCUCACUGGCUCGAUACUGACGCUGAGGUGCGAAAGCGUGGGGAGCAAACAGGAUUAGAAACCCCGGUAGUCCCA
rnacentral:rRNA from 1 species